UACGGAGGAUCCGAGCGUUAUCCGGAUUUAUUGGGUGUAAAGGGCGUGUAGGCGGGAGCGCAAGUCAGAUGUGAAAACUCAGGGCUCAACCCUGAGCCUGCAUUUGAAACUGUGUUUCUUGAGUGCUGGAGAGGCAAUCGGAAUUCCGUGUGUAGCGGUGAAAUGCGUAGAUAUUAGGAGGAACACCAGUGGCGAAGGCGGCUUACUGGACCGUGACUGACGUUGAGGCUCGAAAGCGUGGGGAGCAAACAGG
rnacentral:rRNA from 1 species